UCACGGUUUGCACCGGCAGUCUUGUUAGAGUUCCCGACAUUACUCGCUGGCAACUAACGACAGGGGUUGCGCUCGUUAUAGGACUUAACCUGACACCUCACGGCACGAGCUGACGACAACCAUGCAGAACCUUGUAAUCUGCCCGAAGGAAAAUCUGUUUCCAGACCUGUCAGACUACAUUUAAGCCCUGGUAAGGUUCCUCGCGUAUCAUCGAAUUAAACCACAUGCUCCACCGCUUGUGCGGGCCCCCGUCAAUUCCUUUGAGUUUCAAACUUGCGUUCGUACUCCCCAGGUGGGAUACUUAAUGCUUUCGCUCAGACACUUAUUGUGUAUCACAAAUGUCGAGUAUCCAUCGUUUAGGGCGUGGACUAC
rnacentral:misc_RNA from 1 species